rnacentral:rRNA from 1 species
GACGUAGGGGGCCAGCGUUGUUCGGAAUUACUGGGUGUAGAGGGUUCGUAGGCGGUGUGGCAAGUCGGGAGUGAAAUCUCUGGGCUCAACUCAGAGACUGCUUCCGAAACUGCUGUGCUGGAGUGUGGGAGAGGCGCGUGGAAUUGCAGGUGUAGCGGUGAAAUGCGUAGAGAUCCGGAAGAACACCGGUGGCGAAGGCGGUCUGCUGGGCAGUUGCUGACACUGAGGCGCGACAGCGUGGGGAGCGAACAGG